rnacentral:rRNA from 1 species
AACGAACGCUGGCGGCAUGCCUAACACAUGCAAGUCGAACGAGGGCUUCGGCCCUAGUGGCGCACGGGUGAGUAACGCGUGGGAACCUGCCCUGUGGUACGGAAUAACUCCGGGAAACUGGAGCUAAUACCGUAUGUGUCCUGCGGGACAAAGAUUUAUCGCCAUGGGAUGGGCCCGCGUAGGAUUAGCUUGUUGGUGGGGUAACGGCCUACCAAGGCAACGAUCCUUAGCUGGUCUGAGAGGAUGAUCAGCCACACUGGGACUGAGACACGGCCCAGACUCCUACGGGAGGCAGCAGUGGGGAAUAUUGGACAAUGGGCGCAAGCCUGAUCCAGCAAUGCCGCGUGAGUGAUGAAGGCCUUCGGGUUGUAAAGCUCUUUCGCACGCGACGAUGAUGACGGUAGCGUGAGAAGAAGCCCCGGCUAACUUCGUGCCAGCAGCCGCGGUAAUACGAAGGGGGCUAGCGUUGUUCGGAAUUACUGGGCGUAAAGGGCGCGUAGGCGGUACUUCAAGUCAGGCGUGAAAGCCCCGGGCUCAACCUGGGAACCGCGCUUGAGACUGGAGAACUAGAGUUCGGGAGAGGAUGGUGGAAUUCCCAGUGUAGAGGUGAAAUUCGUAGAUAUUGGGAAGAACACCGAUGGCGAAGGCAGCCAUCUGGACCGACACUGACGCUGAGGCGCGAAAGCGUGGGGAGCAAA